CAAGUCGAACGCGAAAGGGGCUUCGGCCCUGAGUAGAGUGGCGAACGGGUGAGUAACACGUGGGUGACCUACCUUCGAGUGGGGGAUAACGUCCCGAAAGGGACGCUAAUACCGCAUAACAUCCCGCCUUUGAACAGGUGGAGAUCAAAGCUGGGGAUCGUAAGACCUGGCGUUUGAAGAGGGGCCCGCGUCUGAUUAGCUAGUUGGCGGGGUAAUGGCCCACCAAGGCAACGAUCAGUAUCCGGCCUGAGAGGGCGGACGGACACACUGGGACUGAGACACGGCCCAGACUCCUACGGGAGGCAGCAGUGGGGAAUUGUUCGCAAUGGGCGCAAGCCUGACGACGCAACGCCGCGUGGAGGAUGAAGGUCUUCGGAUUGUAAACUCCUGUUGCCCGGGACGAACGGCUCUGACCUAACACGUCAGAGUUUGACGGUACCGGGUGAGGAAGCCCCGGCUAACUCUGUGCCAGCAGCCGCGGUAAUACAGAGGGGGCAAGCGUUGUUCGGAAUUACUGGGCGUAAAGGGCGCGUAGGCGGCCUGCUAAGUCGAACGUGAAAUCCCCGGGCUCAACCCGGGAACUGCGUUCGAUACUGGUUGGCUUGAAUCCGGGAGAGGGAUGUGGAAUUCCAGGUGUAGCGGUGAAAUGCGUAGAUAUCUGGAGGAACACCGGUGGCGAAGGCGGCAUCCUGGACCGGCAUUGACGCUGAGGCGCGAAAGCUAGGGGAGCAAACGGGAUUAGAUACCCCGGUAGUCCUAGCCCUAAACGAUGAGUGCUUGGUGUGGCGGGUAUCGAUCCCUGCCGUGCCGAAGCUAACGCAUUAAGCACUCCGCCUGGGGAGUACGGUCGCAAGGCUGAAACUCAAAGGA
rnacentral:rRNA from 1 species